rfam:Oryza sativa Japonica Group DNA, chromosome 3, cultivar: Nipponbare, complete sequence.
AAGAAGACAAACUUUGGGUUUCCAUGUCCAAUGUUUGACUGUUUGUUUUAUAUGAAAUUUUUUUAUAAUUAGUAUUUUUAUUGUUGUUACAUGAUAAAACAUGAUUAAUACUUUAUGUGUGACUUAUCUUUUUAAUUUUUUUAUAAUUUCUUUUAAAUAAGACGGACGAUCAAACGUUAGACACGAAAACUCAAGGUUUGUCUUUUU